CCUACGGGAGGCAGCAGUGAGGAAUAUUGGGCAAUGGGGGCAACCCUGACCCAGCCAUGCCGCGUGAGUGAAGAAGGUCUUCGGAUUGUAAAGCUCUUUCGGACGUGACGAUGAUGACGGUAGCGUCUAAAGAAGCACCGGCAAACUUCGUGCCAGCAGCCGCGGUAAUACGAAGGGUCCGGGCGUUAUCCGGAUUUAUUGGGUUUAAAGGGAGCGUAGGCCGCAUGUCAAGCGUGCUGUGAAAUGUCCGGGCUCAACCCGGGCCUUGCAGCGCGAACUGGCGUGCUUGAGUCCGCGGAAAGCAGGCGGAAUUCGUCGUGUAGCGGUGAAAUGCUUAGAUAUGACGAAGAACCCCGAUUGCGAAGGCAGCUUGCUGCAGCGGAACUGACGCUGAUGCUCGAAAGCGCGGGUAUCGAACAGGAUUAGAUACCCUGGUAGUC
rnacentral:rRNA from 1 species